rnacentral:lncRNA from 1 species
AUACUAAACAUGUUACUUUCUCCUAUUGAACAGUAUGAUAUGAUAUAACGGGUAAAAAUAAUUAAAGAAAUAAAUCUAACGGUCAAAAAAAUUAUGAGUAUAAAAUGGUUUAUACUCAUAAGAGUAUAGCAGCCGGACUCUACUAAUUGGGGACCAGUCAUCCUAACCACACAUUCCGUCAUUCAACGGUCGAAAAUUUAUAAGUACAAAAGAUUUUGAAAUACUAUCGAUAGUACCAAGCGUUUAGUACUAUCGAGUUUUCCGCCGUUAGGUUUAAUCCUUGAACUAUUUUUAUCCGUUAGAUUAUACUAUUCAACCAAUACUUACUGAACCCUAGAAAGCCCACAUCAGUCUAGACGUAUAUUUUUUUUAUCCAAAGGUCGAAAGUCUAAUCGCACCAAUAGCUUGGUGCUUUUGAUAGUAUUCCAGCCUAGUUCUCUCUCUAUAUAUAUAUAUAUAAUAAUGUGGGUUAUUUAAUUAGUACGAUUGAACCAAACAAGAGGCUGCUAAAUCAGUGGGCAAGUAUCUUUUGGCUUCUACAGUAGAGGACAAAUUUCUUUUUUUUUUUUUUUUUUGGCUUUUUAUGAUGUAUGCGAACCCACAACUAUAACACUCGGCACAAUUUCCUCCAUGCAAGGAAAUAGAGACGAGUUAGGAUUAUAUUGGCCCACAGCUUAAUUAUUACCCCCCACCAAACGCCCUUAUUUAAAAAACUCACAAUCCAAAAGCUGUAUAUGUGAGGAUUUAAAAAUAAAAAUAAAUUAAUAGAUUAAUUAUUAAUUAAUUAAUUAAGGAAAGGACUUGUGGACGCACCUGUGACGUGUCGGGCAAGGACGUGGGGCGGCCCCACCUCUCCGGGUCCCACAGUAUCGAGCUGUUGAAUGCGAACCCGGAAAUGUUGAUCCCUAACGGUUUGGCGGAUGAUCCGUUGCCGUUAGUAACGUCCGUUUCCGUCGGCAAGGUGACCGUUGUGGCCGUACCGUCGUUUAAAUCCCCGGAGAACCAACCGACAACCUUCGAUGAGCUGCAAAUGGGGCCCUCCACCGAUAUCUUCUCCUCGUUCGCCGUCAUCGUUGCCACCGGCCACGUGCCGAAAGCCCUGCGAAUUUUCCAAAUUUAUAAAACAGUCCUUGCAAUGUGUAUCUUUUAUGAAGUGAUUGAGAUCCCCGAACGGAACUGAGAAAUUAAGAACAUAAAAAUAUAAAGAUUUAAAAUUCUGGGGUUCGCGUCUGCGACUCAUGUGAUAGACAAAGUCUAAGCAGUCACUCAGAGAUGCAGAGACCAAACUGUAGCAGAUUCAAGUUGGACACUCCUCAUUGCUCUGCAAAGAGAAUUUAUUCCUAAUAAUUGUUGCAGUAAAAUGUCGCAUGUGCAUGAGUCAGCUGGUUCGGUACACAAAACAAUACUCGAUCGAAGGGGUGUUUUCCAAUAGUUAAUUUGGUCUAAGAUAAAGAAGAGUUAAAGCUAAAUUAGAAUAUUAUUGUUUUGUUUCCAUGCAUGAGAGAUUAAUACACACGUUUCUCCCAUAUGCCUCGACAACAAGUAGUAGGAAGAAGAACUUAUUAGAAGCAUGUGCCAGAGAUUAAUAGAAAGAGACUAGAGAAGUUGUGUGUUGAGAAACAGCAUAUUAAGAAGGCGACUUCAUAUCCCCCGAACUAAUUAGUUAUGGUGUCAAUUGGCGAACGAAAAAGGAAAAAGAAAAAAAAAAUAUAUAUAUAUAUAUACAUAAAAAAGCAAAAAAGAAGCCGACUUUUUACCUAACUUAUUCAAGAUCGUCAGCAGUUGGGUGAUGUUGACCCCCUUCUUUAAUUGGCGUCCAACCGCAUCAAUUUCGAUGGCUAUUUUUAUUUACAUUUUAGAGGCUGUUUUGAUUCAAAGAUUUGAAACAUUUUAAAAAUAUUUUUAUAUUUCAUAUUAAGAAUAAUAAAUUUAUUAAUAAUUUAUUAAAUCACUUGAAUUGGAAGGUUGUUAAGAACUAAUAUAUUGUUAUUAGUAGAUUACUAAAUAUUCUCAUAAUAAAGUAUAAAAAUAAGAAUGUCUCUUAAUAUAUGAGAAUCUAAUAUUUUUACUAUUUAAAAUUUUGUAAUAAUUUUACUAUUUCAUUAAUAUUUUUUACGACUAUUGAAUUUGAGUUAAAUGAUAAUAAUAAUUUGAAUAUUUUCAAUAGAAAAUAUAGAGAAUUAACAUAAUAUUACAAGCGGUGAGCCAAAUGGUUCCUUAACGUUAUUUAUAUUCAUAUAAUACCCAUGAUUUGAAUAUUUUUGUUUAAUGGAUUGAAAAAAAAGAAUAGGGAAAAAAAAAAAUUAGUAAGAAAGCCUUAAGAAGAUACGGCUAGAGGUUAUAUUCUCAAUAGCUCAUGCUUGGUUCACUUGGCAAGAGCUAGUUUCUACUAAUUAAAUAAAAAAAAUACUUAUAUGGAAAAUGAAAGCAGGUUAUGAAUUUUCAGAAAAUAUAAUGAAUUUAAUUUGGAAUUUCUAGUUGUAACUUAGCUUCUAACUACGAGGGAAAGUUAAUUGCGAAUUGUUCUUUUCUAAAUUAAAAUUUGAUGUUCUCAAGCAGGUUUGCGCAUAAGAAAAUACUAUAAAAAAUGGAAUAAUCUAAGCAGCAAAAAAAAAAACACUAAUAAAGGACUAAAAAAAGAUACGAAAUUAUCAAGUUGUGCUUAAAGAGUACAUUAUGAAAUUAAGAUUGAUUAGUCAUGUGAAGAUUCUUAUAAUAAUACAUUAUUUAGGUCACUAAUCAUAAUCUUCUCUUUUCUCCCUUAAGAAUGAUAUAAUAUAUUUUUCUAUUUCGCCUAAAAAGAUAUACUUUCAUAUGCUCGCUAGUGGUGACUCAACAAAUACCUGUUUAAUAAAUUAAGUGUAACCAAUUAGAGUGUGAAGAGUACUUCGUGAGAGGAACGCAUGUAAAUAGUAUUUAAAUGAGAUACAAAUAUCUAAUUCCAAUCCGAGAAAAAUUAUGCUAAAUAAGUAUAUUAAAAAUUUACUAUCUAUUCAGAAAAUUUACUAAUUAGAUGAUUUCACAGAAACUCUCAAUUGAGCUCUGCUGCAGAAUUGUGGCAUUCCAGUUGAAUUUCCUAAAUUUUAUUAACUGACUAAAAAAAAUACUCCCUUAAUUUUUUUAAAAAAAUUUUAAAAGCAAUCAGAGUAUGGAACUAAUUGAUUUGGAAGAAGGGGAAUUUAGAUCAAAAGUUGGAGGGGAAGAGGGGGAAAUGGGGGAGGGAUUGCGUACUCGAUGCGGCGGAUCUCCUCGAAGAACUGGAGAUCGUAGACGUUGUCGGCGGCGGCGAAGUGGACGACGCCGGCGAUGCGGUGGUGCUCGAGGUGGCCGAGGGCGACGUUGCGCUGGUGGUGCGCCUCCGCGGCGGGAUCCGUGAAGUUCUCCCGGAAGGUGAGGUGGCGGUACAUGAUCCCCGUGCCCCGGAGCAUCUCCGCCGUGCGCGGCGCGUCCCCGUGCGCCUCCACGACGAUCCACAGCAGCGGCGGCGGCACCAAUCUCAAAGUGCUCGCCAGCCGCAUCAGCGCCGCCCGAUCCCUGCCCCCGUCGCCGCCCGACCGCGUCGUCGUCACCGCUAUCAGCAGCCGCCGCGGGUUCGCCUCCGCCGCAUCGUCCUCCGCCGCCGCGGCCGAGAUCUGGUAGGGUUUAGGGUUCCCGGGGGCCGCCGAUUGGGUGAGGAGGACGGUGCGGUUGGGCGCCGGGGGCCGCUCCAGGGCUUCGAAGUGGUCGGGCAUGAGGCCGAUGUUGGCGAUGGGGUGGUGUGGCGCCGCGGGCGGGGAGGAUCGGUCGGAGAAGAGGGAGGCGGUGGAGGUGGUGGGGGCGAAGCCCGUGAAGAAGCCCAUGACGAAGCAGAGGGAGAAGUGGAUCAGGGCCUUCUUCCACAGCUGGAUCUUCUUCUUCGAUCGCUCGAACGUCCCCAUUGCCCCCAAUCGAACAACCCUAAAUUCUGUAGGGUUCCGAGAAGGACNUUUUUUUUUUUUUUCGAUCCCCUUAAUUAUAAUUUGUUAAAUAAGCAGGGGGGAAAGGGGGAAAUGGAGGGGGUGGUAUUAUAUAAGUGUGGUGUGGGGGUCCUCAGAGUUAGGGAGAAAAGGAGGGGUUAAAGUGGGGAGGGUUUAAAAGAGGCGGGAGCACAACGGCUAUAUUUGCAGGGGGAAGGGGAAUAGGAGAGGCGGUACAAUGAUUAGGCAUGCGGUCAUUCUUUUUCGAUACUGGUGCCAUCGCUGUCUCUGUCCCCUUCUUUUUUUAUCUUCGCCAAAUUACCUUUUUAGCCUCCGAGGUAAAUUGCUUUCGCAAUAAAUGGUCAGCUUAGAGUGAACGACCCAGACAAGUCGCAUUCGCAGCAAUAAUACAUUUGCUAUCUAUCUGAAUAUUGGGUAUGGAAACUUGAAGUUUGAGUAUCGCUACUAUUGAAUAUCUCAGUAGUUUCUCACAAUUUGAAGACUGAAAAAAUUAUUUUUGUAUUGUGUACCUAUACGCAACUUUGAGUACCAGUACACAGUUAUGCGACCAGUUGAAUAUGCUGAAUUUGACUCUAAUUGAAUUUAAUCUUAUUUUAAAAUAUUAAGAAUAGUUCAAGAUCACUUUAAAGAUAAUUCCUAUGAGGAGAUUGAUGGUUAAAUACGAAUCGGAGACUCGGAUGUAUGGCGGAGAUCGUUUCCUACCAUAAUUGAGAUUAUAGAGUUAUAUAAGCUCUUAUAAUUAAUCUUUAGCUACCGUUCGGUUCGGGGUUAAGGAAAAACUAGUUAUUCCAGGAAUUGGAUUAAGUUCAGGAUUGAGGUAGGGUUAGAGUAUUUUUGUGUUUGGUUGGGGGUUGGAGUUAGUCCAGAAUAGUGAAAAAUAGUGUUUGGUUAGAGUAGAUGAGAUAAGAAGGAUAGUGGGUUAUUAUAAAUAGAAAAUAGUGUUUGGUUGAGGUUUGAUGGGGUUAGGUGGGAUUAGCUAACUCAGGAUAGCAUAUUUGAGGUGGGGUUAGCUAACUCAGGAUAGCAUAUUUGAGGUGGGGUUAGCUAACCCCACCCAUUUUUGAAGACAUUUGGAGAUAAUAUGAGGGUUAAGAAAUUAAUCCACCUCUUAACCCCCAACCAAACAAAGGCAACUCGUUGUUUGAGGUUUAUUGUGAGAGCUUCAUUGUAGACACUCUAAUUGAGAGGAAAACGUAGAGAGCUCCUGAGAGAGAGAAUUUUUUGUAAUCCAAUCUUACUCCUUAUAUUUUUGUGUCGUGAAUUAAUUGAAGAACACAUGAGGUGAUCUUGUUUGUGGAUGUAUGUCUACUCAUCGUUGGCCGAACAACGUAAAUCUUGUAUUAUUGUAUUCUUUUGUUUUAUUUUAUUACGUUGUUAUUCUCGUGUUUAUUUUCUACGAUCGUUUUCCUCUAUAAAAGGUCAUAUUUUCGCUGUACUCAUAUGUUGUGUGGGUUUGAAAUGUGCUCAGUAUCUCACAGCCGGUCCCUUUCGUUAAGUUUAGUUUACGAAACAUCAAAUCUUAAGAUAUAAAUCACUUACUAGCUUCCAAUUAUUGCGAAUACUAUGCUAUCAAUUGUUGGUCUCUUGUUUUAUCAGUAGGAGAAGCACUCUUCACCAACACGGAAUUUAAAAAACAACGAUAAAAAUAAAGAGCUGUAAAAUCCAAUCCGAACAAGUAGUGACCUAAUAAUCUCCCUUUCUACCAUCCGUUCCUAGCGCAAGUAGCAAAAUACUUGGUGGUUAGUAUCCGAGGUCUUAAGUUCGAAUUCUAAUUGAUUUAUAUUUUCAGCUAAAUUUAUUUAAUUAGCAAAUAGUAUACUACUUAUCGCUGAAAAAAAUAAUCUCCCUUUCUCCUAAAACCAAAGGAAAAGGAUGGCUAGGCCACCAAAGAAGAGACAAUUUACCGGCUAGGAUAGAGACACAGCACCAAAAAAUGGAAAUCCCACCUCUCUCUCUCUCUCUUUCUCUCUCUCUCCCCUUCUAUGUGACUGGACACAAAUGUCAAAUUGUCUCUAAUAAAAUAUAAGGAAAAGGAAUAAAGGAUUAAAUAGGAAAACAUGUUUUACUCGCUAAGUAGUGUCGGUCGCAACAUUAGUUAGUUGAUUCGAGUCGAUUCCGCUUGUCAUAAUCAGAGUCGCGACUCGGUCGUUAUCGAUUAAAUAAUUAGGAUCAAGUCCAAUGUUACUGGGUUCUUUAUACCACUAAGUUUGAGGUUGCAGUGGUUGCUUCGUGUCUAAACUAGGAAUGAUUCAAGUUUGAAGCUAGCUUAGAAAACUUGUUCUUGUGAUUUUCGUGUUCGAAAGUUCCGUAAUCUACGGACUAAUAUUCUCUCAUAAUCAAGUGGUAUUUUUAGCGUAGUCAAAGUUAUUUUUUUAGUCGAAAGGAUUGGAUUGAGUUUGAUUUGGGUGGGGGUAGCUUCAGCUGUUAAAUAUUAAUUGAUCAGCCAACCCGAUCUAGGUGAGAGAGAGAUUGACCAAACAGACGCAAUGCGUCACUCGACAAAUUUUAGUUCAUGAUUCACUCAAUUGUAUAUUCGAACAAUUCAUAACAACCAACGAAUCAACACAAUGUGUCAUUAAAAUUAUUCCGAAAUAACAGUUAAUAAACAAAAUCAUCAAUGGUUUGGUCAGUAAAGAGAUCAGGAUUCGAGUUCAUGGUAUGGUUAAAAUUUAGAACUCAGGACUAAAAUUAAAAGAAAAAAAAUAAAAAAGAAGGGUUAAAAAGAAAUGGAUAUAUACGGUGAAGAAUUUAGGUUGAGGUGCAACGAUGUCUGAAUACGCACACCAAUUCUUUCGUGAAGUUUACAUUCCAGGGUUGUCCGACAGCUGAGACAAGCAGGUCAACGUAAAUGCCACUCAUCAAAACUGGUUAACGACAUGCUACGAAGAACUAAUUAAAUUGGGUAGCUUUAAUUUCAACCUUUGGCACAGAAAAAAAAAAAGUACAUUAUAUUCGUUAAUUGUACUUUCUGAAUAGCAAUCAAGCUUAAUAUUCGAGAAUACUAGUAUUGAUAUAAUAGAUAUAUUGAAUCUUAUCAAAUGUACAAUGUGAGUAGUGGUCAGAUCCAACAAAUUUUCUGGAACAAAGACCACGGGCUUGUAUGGCUUGCGCAUUGCAACACACAAGUGUGCGCAAGUGUUGGGCACCGGUAAAGCUUGUGCUUGCAGUGGCCGAAACAGGCUAGGGACUCGCCCGGCCCUGCCCGACACCAAAUCCGGGUCGAGCGGUGCCGUACCUGAGCUGCCUAGCCUCCAGCCCAGCACGGCCCCUCAGCCUAGAAGGCACGGGCCGUGCAGGGCCGGGCCCUGCUCCGGGCCGGCCCCUUUUUUUAUUUUUUUAAAAAAAUAUAUAUAUAAUAUAAAAAUACAAACAAAAUUUUUUUUAUUUAAAUUGAUAAAAAAAUUUAAAACUUAUAAAAAUAAUUAUUAAAUAACAAAUAUAUAUAUUAGGAUGAUGUGGGUCCCCUAGGGUUGAGUGGAUAGUUGGUUGAAUAGUAUAAUCUAACGGUUGAAAAUGAUCAAAAACGUAGAUCUAACAGUAAAAAACUUACAAAUACCAAGUGCUUUGUGCUUUUACAAGCACCAUAGCCUGACUAUAUAUAUAUAUAAUUGUAUAUAUAUAUAUAAUAUAUAUAUAUAUAUAUAUAUUAUAUGUAUAUAUAUAUAUAUGUAUGUAUAUAUAUAUAUAAGCACGUAUUUUCAAAUUUGGGUCUGUCGACAGACCAUUUUUCGGCGAAAAAAUUAGCGCCAUUUUUCUUUCGUACGAAAAAUUUUAAAUAUAGAAAUAAAAUAGAAAUAGAAAUAGCAAUGAAUACGUAAAUUCUCUAUACAGACUAUUUAAUUUCAAAAGUAAGUUUUCUAUAACAAUUAUGGGUGUGAAAAUCCUAUAAAAGAUAUUUUCCUAUUUUAUUUUAAAAUAUCUUUUUUAGAUAUUAUCUAUUUAAUUUCAAAAUAUAUUUUUCUUUUAAGAUAAGAUUUUAUUUUCCAUUUAAUUUCAAAAUUUAUUUCCUAACAGAUUUUAUUUUUCUAUUUAAUUUCAAAAGUAAUUUUUGCAUUAGAGAUUAUUGUUAAUUAUUUAUCAUUUAAAGCAUAUCUUUCUUAAUAGCGUGAUUUAUUAUUUUAAAUUUUUUAGAUACAUAUUUGACAAUCAUAUAAAAUAUGGCCUAAAAUUAAAAAAUAAUUUAAAAAAAUUAUAACUUUUUCUAAUAAUUAUUACGUGCAUUUGCACGUACAUUUUACUAGUAUAUAUAUAUAUAUAUUUGUAAUAUUUUUUUUAAAAAAAAAUUGAAAUUGUUUUUUGGUCCAAUGGACCAAAAUUAUUCUGGUCCAUUGGACCAAAAGCACGCCUCCCAAGGUCUACGAGGAAAUCUCCAGGGGCCCUCCCCAGACCCAAGGCAACUUGCCUUGGGCCUGGGGUUCCGGGCCGUGUUGACUCGGCUGGCACGGCCCCAGAGGGCCGUGCCGUGUCGGGUAGCUGCCUCUUCUUGGCCCGGCACAGCCCAGGCCCGUUCGGGCCAUGCCGUGCCGGGCAGCAAGGUGGCCCAGCAAGGCUCAAAGAGUCGGGCCGGCACGGCCCGGCACCAAUGCUACAAUAGCAGUGUUGGGCGACAGCCCGGCCUGCAGUUGGCCCGGCCCGUUUUACACCCUUAGGCGCGGGCGACGUCAAUCGGAGCUUUUGCGGUGAAGCGGCGUGCUUCGGCCAUCCCGACCUUUUAAGUUUGCAGACACCUUCAGAAAAUCAGCUCAAAAGGGACCAACAUAUAUCAGACUUUCGGCCCGAUAUAAUCUUCCUUUAUGGGACUGUUCUUAAGACCAGCCCAAGAAGACGCUAAUUGGAUUGCGGUGCGAAAUUGAAACUUGGGCCAUAUGUUGGGGUGUAAUGCAAACCCAAAAAUAUAACACUUAGAAGGAGUAGGCUGCGAGUGCUCAAAUGUGGGCCACAUAAAAGUCAUAACGCGUAGUCGUGCUCUUAAUAUUAUUUUUUUCUAAAAUUGUAUGGGAUAAAAUAAAUAGCGAUAUUAGAAAAGGAGAAGGUUGUACAGUUUCAGAUCAUACUGUAAAUACAAGAGGAUCGGCAUGAUGGACUCUCUAGUGUUUUUAAUUCAGUCCGUUCAAUUCUAACAUCUAGAGUGUAGUUCAUAAUUUUUUUCUUUUUUAUUUGAGAAGGAUAUAUUAAGUUCGAAAAGAUUAACACUAAGCUAAUUCGGCUAACACUUAUAUAUUUCUUAAUUCGUUUCAAGGAAAACUCAAAGGGAGUUUGUUCAAAGCAGUUGUGGGUGCACCUUUCUUCUACGUUAGGUACCAUCUUAGUUACACCCGGCAAAAUUAUUCAACCUAGCUAGUGCCUACGUACUAUGCGUGUUAAGGCAUGGUUCGAUAUUGUAGUGACUAAAAAUAUUAUUUUUAUAACAUAAAAAACUCCUAAUUAAUCAUAAAUAAAUGUCGGAUUUGGAGACCAUGCUAUUUAUUCCACUGGAGAUCCCCUAGAUAGCACAGUAGUAUGUGUCCACUAAUUAUGCUCACGACUCACAAAGUGAUUCAGCACUUUGCCUCUCGGGUGUUCAAUUCAACUGUUCAUUAAUAAAGGCACGCGUGACUCAGCACUUUGUCCCCCUUAACCCUUUUGUGACACGUGUCACAUUCUGUACAAUAUGAGCACGUAGAAAAAUCUCUCUAUAUUCCGCAAUUAAUAAAGAAAAAAAAUUAGAGUAAAACGCAACGUGUUUACCUAUCCGCUUUAUUAUAAUAUAUAUAUAAGUGAACGAGAACGAGACACUCACUUUAGAACUAGCCUAGAGGUUUCUGGUUCAAGUUCGACUUGUCCAACUAUGAGACUGCGAGAUUUCUAGAGAUUGGAAAAUAUUAUAUGGAACUGUGUAGGGGGGUAAAACAAGGUGCAAUGAGUAAGGUGCUAAAAAUAAGUUACUAGAUUCCAAUCAAGAGUUGAUCUUUCUAGAAUUCCUCUCCCGUGCGCUUUAAUUUCAUACAUAUACAUUUUAAAUUUCCAAAUUUUGUAUGAAUCAAUCCACUUAAAAACCCAAAUCCAGAAUAUAUAUAUAUAUAUAUAUAUAUAUAUAUAUAUAUAUUAUAUAUAUAUAUAUAUAUAUAUAUAUAUAUAUAUAUAUAUAUAUAAAUUAGGCUGGAAUACUAUUAAUCGUAAAACGCUCUUUUUGCUAUCAAAUUUUUAACCAUUGAUGAAAAAUUAUAGGGUCAGGAGGAUAUUAGUCGUUAGAGUUGAGUGGCUCCUCUAGGGUUGAGUGGUUUCUCACUAGGUUAUAGUAUUUAACCAAUGGUUAGAAAUAAUGAAAAGAUUGAUCAAAAGGCUAAAAAAUUAGUAGCAACAAUGAAAUUUUGUUAUUAAUAGUAGCCCCGUCCAACUAUAUAUAUAUAUAUAUAUAUAUAUAUAUUAUAUAUAUAUAUAUAUAUGCUAUUUUUUUUAAGAAAAAUAGCAGCCUAUCUGUUUCAUUCAUUAAAUGUAUAAAUUAGGUUACAGGAGUGAGGCAACCCGGGCCUCAAUGUAUAUGCUAUUAAUCGCACAAAAAGUUGGCAUGGGCUUUUAGUGUAAUUUUAAGUCAUACAUGCUUUAAAAUUUAGAAGAUUUGUUGGAUUUUAAGUUAAAAAAUAAAGGCCGGCCAAAAAUCUGAACCACUCGUUUAUGAAACGAAGGAUCGGUGAAUGCCACAACGUGAUGAGAUGAUCAUCACCCGUUGGUCAAAUUCUAACCGCCCACUGUUUGGUCACAACUGCUUCACGAAAUUCCAUUUUUAUUUAUUUAUUUAUUUAUACAUUAUUAUAUUAUUCAUUCCCUUUGGAAUUAUCAAUUGUAGGUUUUUCUAAUAAAAACUAGAGUUGGGCAUAAUUUUGUUAAGCUCGUGGAAAACAUCUGACACAAAUUUCACAAAUUAACCUCAUUUGGUAUGCUAUUGACAUCGUAAAAAUUAUAUUUUAAUCAAUUUAUUAUAUUAUAUGCAUCGUGAUAUUACCUGUAAAAUAAAUAAAUUAAUUUUCGCAUCAUACUUUAUUAUUACUGGUAAUCUAAUGUAUCUGUAAUUUUAAAUAGAAUCUUAGUUGAUUGGAAUUUUUUAAGGAUCAACUUUUGAAUUAAUUUUUUUUUUUUUUUUCAAAAAAAGAGCUUUGACUUUACAACCUGCACUUCGACAGCACUAAAUGAAAUAAACGAAACGAGUAAUGUGCUAUCUAUCUCUCUUAAAAAAAAAAAAAAAAAAAAAAAAAAAAAAGGAAAAAUAAACUUAUCCAGGGAGUAGUCACCAAGCAAUACAGAAACGGUUACGUGUCGUCGAGAGCAAACUAUGCGAUUCUGAACCGCAUAUUCAAAAAAGCAUCUUUCCCUUUAAAACGAGCAUCCCAUAACAAGCAUCGCAUACGAAACCACCCCCCCGCUCACGUGCCCCCCACGUGCCGCACAUGGGCCGUACCCCAUGGGCCCAUGGGCCCUGUACCCCUAGAAAUCAAUCUCAGCCGCUCGAUCUUCUACCAACGGCUCUAAUAAAUAGCACGAAAUUCGUUCGCAUGGCAAAUUUUUUUUUUCCAAAAAAAGUCAUUUCCCGGAAUUUUCUCGGCCCCAAUAAAGUAACUGGUGAUGCAUUAUAUUAGCCGUCUCACGAACCAGCAAUGGGGAUAGAUAUUAUUUAUUAAUUAAUUUAAAUAUGUUUCUAUUGCAAGCAUUUUAACUCCCAAACAUCUACUUUUUUAGUAGUUUGAAGGUAUAAAGUUUAAAUUAAAAAGUUUAGGGACUAAGUCGUCGUAAUGGAAUACUACAGGGAUCAUCCAUACAUUUGACCCCAGUAUUAAAGGACAAAACAUUUCUCUGAAUCCUCAUUUGCUUUUUCACCCAAUGAGAGGGAGUUUACAGCAGGUGGAGAAGGAGUAUUUCUGGGACAAGAGGGAAGUUGAACAAAAACUCCUUUUAGAGCCCAAGAUCAAAUGGUUCAGAUCAAGGAGUUGUAUCCUGUUUAAUUUGCAUCUAUUUUUCGCUGUAUUUAGUUAAACAAUCACCAUGCCUUUUGUUUAUCUGUGUAAGAUCAUAUUGAUCUUCUCUAGUUUGUGAAUUAUGAUCAAUCUAAGAUGAGAUUAUUCUUAUUUCAUUUCAAUUUUUGUUACAUUUGUGUGCACCUUGACGUGUUUUCCUCUUCGGGGGAAUUUUUCGCCGCAAAGCCGAAUUGUCAUGCCUAUGACUGUGGAAGAGGUGAGAGGAAAAUUUUAUUUACCAAGAUUGUGAUUUUGUUGUUUUUUUGAUAUUACGAGGCAAAGUAAAAUAAAUGAAAUGAUAUGAUAUUUACUUUGAUUUUGUGUAGUAUGGGAUGGGUCUAACGUACACCGUAAUGAAGAUGGAGCAGCAGAAUACAAACAGCAAAGAAGGGGUGGAGAUACUGCAAAAUUCACCUUUUGAGGAUCAGAUGCUUGGAAAGGGCCAGUACACUUCCAAAGUUUAUCAUCUGCAGAGGUAUUUUUAGAUGGUUUUCCAAUUUAAUCAUUAAUCAAGCAUGUAAUCUUGUCUAAUUCUAGAUUGAUAGCAGUUCAUAAUGGUAUGCAUCACUUGAUGCUGAAACUUUUCUCAGAUGUUCACAAAUGAAUAUAAGGUGGUGCUUCAUCAGUAAGUAGUGGAACAAUUUGCGAAUCAAAUGGUGAAAUUGCCUUUCAUGAAUCUGGGAUUACUAGAUUUUGGAUCUAGAGUAAUCAACUAUGUCGAAUUCAGAUUGUGAAGAAAAAUGAUUUAACAUACAAAUUGCUACCAGAUGCUAACAGAUAUUAUGAUUAUGAUAUGAGGAAAUGUGUUUUAUGCUCUUUGUUGUUAAUAAAUUGGAGAGUUCGAACACAACCUCUUGCUAUUCAUGUUGUAACGAAGAAAUUAUAUUUACGAAAUAUUCAUCGCAGCAAAAUCCCACCUUGGCUGAAAACUUUUGCUCCGCUGAGUGCUCUCACAGUGGAAGAGGAAUCGUGGAGCGCAUAUCCCAAAAGCAAAACAGGUAUGUACUUCACAGAGCAAAAUUUUUACCACUAAAGGUUACUUAAGUUUAAAACGCAAGAACUUACGCUAAACUGUUUGGUCUCUGCCACCGUGAAUUCGAUCGUCGUGCAAACCAGUGAUCAAGGUACUUACGCGUCCUGGGUAUUUACGAACUGCUAAAUUCUCUUCUCUCAUCGUCGUCCUGAUCAUUUAUCUCCUUUCCGUUAUUGAUUUAUGCAGUGCCCAUUUUUUACCAAGUGUUCUCUGACUAUCGAAACUGUUAAUAAGGCGGACAAUGGUUGUUCUGAAAAUGUAAGUACAUUAGGCUCAUUACCAACCAUUAUGAAAAUCGCUUUAAGAUAAAGGCAUUCUAAUAGUAUAGGAAGACAUAUUACCAGGUCCAUGGUUUGAAUAAAGAGCAACUAGCUGCUAGGGAGGUGGAAAUUAUCGACAUAGCAUCGGUUUCGAAGGAUUACUGGAGUAAAGUAAUCGGCGCUAAUAAUGUGGAUUUGACAACUUUCAAAUCUGAAAGAACCGGUCGCGGUCCACUUCUGAAAGGAUGGAUGGUAAUCACUUUUUCCCUAUUACUUCCGACUUCUUGUAUCCUUGCAUUCAAUACAGCAGCUCUAACACUCAGAAGGAAAAAGAUUCAUUGCGAAAAUUUAGUGGUCGUAUCAUUUCUAACAUAUGCAAUGCGUCAUUGAUUAUUUGUAGGAUUCGUGUCAACCGGUCAUGACAACGUACAAAUUGGUGAUGAUGGAUGCUCCGAUCUGGGGUAUUCGUGACCGCUUGGAGGAAUGCCUUAUUACGGUAUGUUUUGAUCUCAAUCGUUUGCAUGCAUAUGCAAUGUGGACAACUUUGAGAAGCAGUCAAUAAAGAGUGUUCCUGUGAUUUGCUUCAUCAAUUUAUUUUACUUCCAAUUAAGUAACAAGAUACUUGAUGCAAAUGUUCGAGUCUUAGAAUCUCCAUUAUGUGUACUGUAUUUUCAAAUAUAAACAGAUUAUACUUGCUAAAACGUGCUGCCUUUUUCCUCGUCAGCAACAUAAUACUUCAGAAUUUCACCUUCUGUUUGUGAGCAAAGUAGCAUUCAUAUGGAUUCCCGAUGAGUUCUCAAAUUCCUAGUCCAAUUUGCCGUGGGCUGAUCACAUGUUACACUUCUGAAUUCAUCAUGCUACGUUUCUGAAAUAUUUGAGAUAUCAGAUUUUAUCCAUAUCGACGAUCUAAGGUUGCUUAGUUUUUUGUAGGGCGAGAGGGCAUUAUUUUUAGCAUGCCACAAGCUCUGCUUUGCAUGGAUUGAUGAGUGGUAUGGAAUGACCAAGGAACAACUAUGCGAGUUGGAAAGACAAAAAGACUCGUUACUAAAGAAGGUAAGCGACUCAUCUUUUGCACAUGUCGUGUUCUCUCUUUUGCACAAAAUUGUUCUGGUUUCAGCAAAAGAACUGAAUCCAAAUCGCCGAAUUAUUAAACAUGUGAGCUUCUACAAGAAAUUUGAGAAUUCAUUUUAGAGGAGUGCGUGAUGUUAAAAGAACAGAGUUGCAGUUAAUUGUUAAAUAUAUAUAGAUAUUUCUAUAGGCAUGACAAUCUUUUUAUGCUUGUGUAUGGAGAAGACUCUGCCCAUAUGUUGUUGCAGUUAGCUUGUGUAUGCUUGUGAAAUGGGUUGGCUCUGAUCUUCGAUAUUUUGCUGAUUGAAAACAGAGAUUCCAAAAGUCGUCGAAGGUCGGGAGCAAGCGUGACAAAAGGAAAACCGCACAAGAUAACACGGCCAUGGUCGAAAGUUGUAAAUAAUUGAUUACGAAAUGCGUGUUUUAAAUGGCCCUACUUCCUCUCCAUUCCUUAGAAAGGGGGCGAAGGAGUGUUUCAAAAGGAUGCAAUGAAGAUUCAGGAGGGCCAAGGUCACAGAAAACAGACUUAAAAAGCAUAUAUUUCAUUCAAGGUCUGUUUAUAAUGCCACCAACUUAUUUCUAUCAAAAAGAAUAGAUUGUUUAUAACAUUAUCCCUAAUCGAAAGUUACAUUUCAUGCUGUUAUUUCUGGUUUGUAUAGUUACCAAAGCCAUGUUCUACUUUAAUAUAACUCUUCUAAUUAUACUUCUUCGGUAUGUAUAUAAUUUUUUAGUUAUGUUGAAUAGCUGCUGAAUUGUGUGCACCAGAAACUAAACAUCAAGGCUACUUCUACUGAGCUGAUUUCCGCAAACAAUCCUGUUUAUAACUUUUGAGUGGAAGGUGUAGAUAGAAUAGUAAAAGCUGUUUACUUUUUGUUUAGUUCAUAUUGCGUACACAGCAAGAUCACUAUUCACAUAGUAAAACUUGUCCAGAACCAAUGCAACUUUGUUGUUAAUAGCAAAUGUUGCUCCAUUAAUGUCACUGCCCUCUUAGUGUAAAAGGUUUGUGUAUAUAAUGAUCUCAAAUUCAUGUAAUGGAAAAAGGAAAAUCUUAAAAUUUCAUGCUUCUUGAAAAUAUAAUACAUACUUAAAUUUGAGCAAUAAGUCAUCAACAACAGAAAGAUCAUAAAGUAGAAAAAGAUAAAAACAAAAUGUUACAACAGUCCAUCGUUCUCUUGUUUCCUGUGACUUUGAUUCUACCGAAAUGUUAACAAAUAAACCAAACUAAAACUGCAACAGGGGAAAAAGGGAAAAGAAAAAUGGAAAAGAAAAGAAAAAGUAAAACAAACCAUUUGAGCGCUGAUUUAACCACUCCUCCUGGAAAGUACUUCGAACACUGAAUGCUCAUCAAUCCUCUUCAGCAUUGACUACUACGAUCCUUUUAUACAAACAUCAAAACUCACCAUAGAUAUCCAAGCUUGCCUAGAACUGGAACCUGCUGGGCUGAGCCUUAGUCAUCCGGGCCAUCCCGAACGACUCGUCGUUCUCAACCAUCUUAGCAUUUCGAUAGGCGGCGCACCCAACAACAUAGAAGAUGACAAUGAUGAUGAGCACAACGAUGUUGAUAACAGAGACCUUGCGCCAGCUGUGGCGGAUGGUGGCAAGGACCCCGGCCCUGCACGAGUCGCACUGGAAGCAAAGAACCUGCUGAUCGUUGCUCCACCGCACGCAAUCGGGGUCCGUCACCACCAUCCCUGCACCCGCAUUCCACAAUGUCUCAUUCACGUACGUGUAGCCGCAGGAUGUUGGUGGCUUGCAGCACCCAGACUGCAUCGUCAAUGACCAAGUAACAAAUUAACUUUUCAACUAAUAUGUGCUCAGUUAAACUCUCAAACUGAACUCAUAACUGCAGAAGAGAUCAAACAAUGGAUUUUUUUUUUUUUUUUUUCCCUUUGAGAGAGAAAAUAAUAAGGCCAAACAAAGAUUCAGAAAAAUUGCCAGUGCUACUGUUAAGCUCAAACCUUACCAUAAUUCCCCUUCCUCAUUCCAAUCAUCAUAAAUAUGGUGAUACCAGAGAAAGAAGAGCCAAUCGAGAAGCUCCAUAAAACGAAACUUCACAAUGCAAUUCAAUACGACUUGAACCCUGUAGAAAACGGUUCUCACCUUUUGUCUCAUAGAAUACCGAGUAAAUGAAGAGGAGCUUGCACGGAACUAUUUUGUUAUUCAUUAAGGCUAUCGCAUCAAAGGCUAUCUACAGAUGGUAAAUUGGUUGGUCUCUAUGCAGCACCUUCAUAACUAAAAAGGUGUUUGUAUGCAAUGAGGUCUUAACUCUUCCAAAAUGACCUUUUUAACAUAAAUCAACAGCUAAACUUCCACUUAAGAAGCAUCUUUCAACCAUAAACUUAUGACGAAGUAACACAAAUAACCAUUUUAUAUAAAUCCCUUGGACAUGAACAUGUCUAAUCAGAGAAAUUAUUGUUCAGAACAUUUAAAUGGGUUUUUUUUUCAUGUCAUUAGUUGUGAAGGUAGGAAACAAGAUCGAAACCAAAAGUACGAAAAAAGGACCAGAGAAAUUAUGGUUAGGCACCAGGAGAUGUAGCAGGGAGUUGGGAACAGGAAUCAAAACAUGUCUACUGGGUCUAUCCAACCAAUUACAAAGUAUGAUUACUAUUACCCAAUUAGUCCUUGGCCCUUCCAUGUGGCCCAUUCCAAUUGGUUCAACUGUCCUAUUUAACCUUUAAUGGGUUAGUGGGGUGCCACCAUUAAUAGUAUGGAGAAAGACCUCAUUCCUCAAUCAUGCAGCUAUUUGUGGUCCUUCCUUCUAAUUUCUCACAUAAAGGGCAGAAAAGGACCUCUCCUCAAUCACUCUGUCAUAUGGUUCAUUGCCGCUUAUCUCUGAGGACCUCCUUUUUUUUGGUUCACUACUCACAAAAGUGGAAAAAGACUAGGGGCUUAAUGCUGAACAUACUUUUUCCUGCUCGGUUGUGGCUAUUUCCCCUCGGAAGGGCUACCAUGCAGAGUUUAUUCAAUUCAGCAAAGUAUCACAAGUCAUUAGAAAGUAAACAUACAGCAGUAUCAAACAGAUAAAUUAUU